CUUUUUUCACUGUCCACUGUUUAAUGAACUGAGGCACAAUCCAUGACUAAAAGGGGAGGUCAGAAGGAUUAUGUAUAUAGAAUAAUUAUGCUGUAAGCAUCCAAACUGGCAAUUUAAAAUGUGGAGCAAACCGCUGGAACGUUGCCUUGGUUUCCAUAGUGACUGCAACAGAUAUGUACCAUUUUCUUAUUACAGUUGACACUCGCAAAUCAUAAAAAACGUAAUAAAAGACAGUAAAACAAUAAUAGUUUUAAGGCAUUCACACACACAAAAAAAAAAAACUUAACUCAUGAAGUUCUGGAGAGCUUACAAGUCCCUCUUUGUAUCAUAACUAAUAUAUCAUCGUAGAGUCAGUUUCGAUUGGACGAUUGAGUAGUUG